rnacentral:rRNA from 1 species
CGCGUAGGCGGUGCCACAAGUCACUUGUGAAAUCUCCGGGCUUAACUCGGAGCCUGCAGGCGAAACUGUGGUGCUGGAGUAUGGGAGAGGUGCGUGGAAUUCCCGGUGUAGCGGUGGAAUGCGUAGAUAUCGGGAGGAACACCUGUGGCGAAAGCGGCGCACUGGACCAUAACUGACGCUGAGGCGCGAAAGCUAGGGGAGCAAACAGGAUUAGAUACCCUGGUAGUCCUAGCCCUAAACGAUGAUUGCUUGGUGUAGCAGGUACCCAAUCCUGCUGUGCCGCAGCUAACGCGAUAAGCAAUCCGCCUGGGGAGUACGGUCGCAAGGCUGAA